rnacentral:sRNA from 1 species
GUCUAGCCCCGAUGGAAACGAUAUCCUUUUUGUUGACUGAGGUUCUCGAAGGCAACAAAAAGAUUUAGUGAGCAGCGGGAAUUACA